CUUCCCUCCUAUUCCUCUCACGUGAAAAAGAAAAUCCUCAACCCUCCUUCCUUCGACUUCACGUGAACCCUCAACACUCCGCCUCAGCCGCCGGCCGCCGCCACUGCAAACCGGACCACCGCCGUCGCCGCUGCACGUUCUCCGCGAGUCUCCUCUCUUCCACACCACCACCCAGCGUCACGACAACAGCCGCCGCACCGCCGCCCAGUCCGCUCUAUCGCGCUGCCCUGCUAUCCGCCGGCCAACCUUGUUCUUCCCUCUUGUUUGUCGUUCCUCUUUCCUUCUUUCGCGUGCCACCACCAUCAACGCACGCCACCAUUGACGCAUCUACCACCCAGCGCAACCAUCUGCCGCCCAGCCGCGACCACCUGCUGUCGCGCCCUACCGCCGGCCAGCACCUCCCCUCUCUUCUCCUUUGGUGGAGAAUUCUUUGUAGGCGACCCUUGAGAUUGUUAUAGUAGCCUAUCAAUUUGUUUACACAAGUCUCUAAGGAUCAAUAAGCAUUGUCCAUCUGCAGGUUUGAAGAUGUUGCAUUAUUGAGAUCGGGAAUAGAGAGCUUGUAUUUAGUUUUGAUUUGCUAAGUUGACUUGGAAUUUUUUUAUUUGGAAUUUAAACUUGUUAAUUGAUCUUAUUUUCGGUGAUUGGUUUUGGCAUUAACUAUGUAAUCGAUUAUUUAUAAACCUAAAGUUAGUUUUAUG